ACGGAAGGCAGCAGUGAGGAAUAUUGGUCAAUGGGCGGAAGCCUGAACUAGCCAUGCCGCGUGAAGGAAUAAGGCCCUAUGGGUCGUAAACUUCUUUUGACGGGGAGCAAUAAGGUCUACGUGUAGGCCGAUGAGAGUACUCGUCGAAUAAGCAUCGGCUAACUCCGUGCCAGCAGCCGCGGUAAUACGGAGGAUGCAAGCGUUAUCCGGAUUUAUUGGGUUUAAAGGGUGCGUAGGCUGUUGUGUAAGUCAGAGGUGAAAGCCCGGAGCUCAACUCCGGAACUGCCUUUGAUACUGCAUGGCUUGAAUACGGAUGCCGUGGGAGGAAUGAGUAGUGUAGCGGUGAAAUGCAUAGAUAUUACUCAGAACACCGACUGCGAAGGCAUCUCACGAAUCCGUCAUUGACGCUGAGGCACGAAAGCGUGGGGAUCAAACAGGAUUAGAUACCCUGGUA
rnacentral:rRNA from 1 species